GCAGUGCAUAUGGGUGUUACAAACAUGCAUGUGGUACCCCAACGGCAUUCUGCUUGCUUAUUCCUGAACAGUUAUAACAGUGGGGCAUAUGGUAACAGUGCACAAUUUUAUAUUUAAAUUGAAGGUUGUCAUAUUUUGAACAUGCUUUACAUUUCUGGUAUUGGUUGAUGCAAACAGGCUUAUCGCAGGCUUCCAUUCUCACCUGUAUGUAAGAGGGUAUACUUAUGUUUAUACUUAUACUGUCUAGUUAUGUCACACACAGGCUCAUAGACAUGCGCGGGAUAGACAUGCAGCAUAAGGUACUCCCCGAGUUGUGGGUCAAUGGUUGAUUUUAUAUCGCUUUUUCGUUUAGGGGUAGCAGCACGUCUAGAUAAUGGAGAGUACCUUUCAAGAUAAGUGUAUGUGUCUAUGCGUUAGGUAGGGAACAACUUGUCUGCGGUGUGGAGUGCCUAAACCUGUCGCAUAGGUCUGACUUUUGGGUCUAGCUUACUAUUGUGACAAGUGCAGCAGCUGCAGACUUAAAACAUUACAUCUCUCAAUUAGCCUUAGACUCAUGCAAAAAUAGGAGAAGUGUUACGUUAACUAUAGGUAAACAUUAACCACAGUCACAUAUUAAUUAUAGUCUCAUAUUGAUGAUCUAACUACAGAUACAUAUCUCGUUGGGAGUUGUUUCAGGCAGCCUGACUUGGCUUUGCACGGAAUGUCUCUGUGCCCUGUUCACAUAGCGGGUUGUUGCUCUCAGCUUUGUUCAACCGACCCCACUUGUGGGCCAUCCUGGGGGUAUCUCUGUGUGUCACCCGCCUUCCAUUUCAGGGCUCUUUGCUUCCUGGCCUUUAUAAUCAAUAUUGUUAUAGCCUACAUCUUACAAUUGAAUAACUGUACCUUUUACUACAAGCAUCAAAUAAAGUGAUAUUAUAUUAACACAGGUGACUACCUACGUGCAAUUUUACAUUUCUUUCCUGUGUGCCAAUGACGGUAACAUAAUAUUUAUUAUUAUUAUGAUAUUUAUAGAGCGCCGUCAAAUUCCGCAGCGCUUUACAAUGGGUGGACGGACAAGUUGGACACACAGGAACAGAGGGGUUGAGGGCCCUGCUCAAUGAGCUUACAUGCUAGAGGGAGUGGGGUAAAAUGACACAAAAAGGUAAGGAUAGUAUUAGACUAAUGACAGUUGCAGAAGAGGAAUCAGUCAAGAGCUAUUAACAGUUUAAUUGAUACACUUUUAUGAAGAAGUGGGUUUUUAAAGCUUUU